rnacentral:tRNA from 1 species
GCGGAAAUAGCUCAGUGGUAGAGCACCACCUUGCCAAGGUGGUGGUCGCCGGUUCGAACCCAGUAUUCAGCU